GACGAACGCUGGCGGCGUGCUUAACACAUGCAAGUCGAACGCUGAAGACCUGGCUUUUGUUGGGUUGGAUGAGUGGCGAGCGGGUGAGUAACACGUGAGUAACCUGCCCUCUUCUUUGGGAUAACGCCCGGAAACGGGUGCUAAUACUGGAUAUUCACUGAUCUUCGCAUGGGGGUUGGUGGAAAGGUUUGUUCUGGUGGGGGAUGGGCUCGCGGCCUAUCAGCUUGUUGGUGGGGUGAUGGCCUACCAAGGCUUUGACGGGUAGCCGGCCUGAGAGGGUGACCGGUCACAUUGGGACUGAGAUACGGCCCAGACUCCUACGGGAGGCAGCAGUGGGGAAUAUAGCACAAUGGGCGAAAGCCUGAUGCAGCGACGCCGCGUGAGGGAUGGAGGCCUUCGGGUUGUAAACCUCUUUCGCUCAUGGUCAAGCCGCAACUGUGGGUUGUGGUGAGGGUAGUGGGUAAAGAAGCGCCGGCUAACUACGUG
rnacentral:rRNA from 1 species